UACGAAGGGUGCAAGCGUUGCUCGGAAUUAUUGGGCGUAAAGCGCACGUAGGCGGCAUUGCAAGUCGGAUGUGAAAUCCCUCGGCUCAACCAAGGAAGUGCAUCCGAAACUGCCGUACUUGAGUACUAAAGAGGAUCGCGGAAUUCCCGGUGUAGAGGUGAAAUUCGUAGAUACCGGGAGGAACACCAGUGGCGAAGGCGGCGAUCUGGGUAGAUACUGACGCUGAGGUGCGAAAGCGUGGGGAGCAAACAGG
rnacentral:rRNA from 1 species